AUAUUUCUGAUGCUGGCAGGUUCCUAACUAUUUCUUGCCCCUGACAUAUUUCUGAUGCUGGCAGGUUCCUAACUAUUUCUUGCCCCCGACAUAUUUCUGAUGCUGGCAGGUUCCUAACUAUUUCUUGCCCCUGACAUAUUUCUGAUGCUGGCAGGUUCCUAACUAUUUCUUGCCCCUGACAUAUUUCUGAUGCUGGCAGGUUCCUAACUAUUUCUUGCCCCUGACAUAUUUCUGAUGCUGGCAGGUUCCUAACUAUUUCUUGCCCCUGACAUAUUUCUGAUGCUGGCAGGUUCCUAACUAUUUCUUGCCCCUGACAUAUUUCUGAUGCUGGCAGGUUCCUAACUAUUUCUUGCCCCUGACAUAUUUCUGAUGCUGGCAGGUUCCUAACUAUUUCUUGCCCCUGACAUAUUUCUGAUGCUG